rfam:Pseudonocardia sp. CNS-139 NODE_8_length_115610_cov_152.678_ID_369, whole genome shotgun sequence.
GUGGGUGUAGCUCAGCUGGUAGAGCACCUGGUUGUGGUCCAGGAAGUCGCGGGUUCGAGUCCCGUCACUCACC